rnacentral:rRNA from 1 species
UCGCUGCCCGGAACUGAGCCGUCUCGAGAAGAUCAGGGACUGUCGUCUGAUGGCUUUUCGGCUGUCCUUCGAUGGAAACUGAUUUAAUCGGUAUGGCUUGAACCGGGCAA